CUAACAUCCCACCUGUCUUUUAGGUGACGUUAGUCCCACCUUGACAGUCCUGCCCCCCUCCAGCGUUGAGCUGCAGCAGAGCAAGGCCACUCUCAUGUGCCUGGCCAACAAGGGCUUCCCCUCAGACUGGAAGCUGAGCUGGAAGGUGGACGGUAGCAGCAGCAACACCUGGGAGGUGACUGGGAGCCCCGGGGUCCUGGAGAAGGAAGGCCACUACAGCUGGAGCAGCACCCUGACCCUUCCUGUCGACCAGUGGAGGAAGGUGGGCUCUGUGACCUGUGAGGCCACCCAGGGCUCCCAGUCUCCUCUCUCUGAGACACUGAGGAGAGACCAGUGUUCUGAUUAAUGAAGAGAGGUCCUGUGUGGGAAUCCUUCCUCCAGCUGGAGCUUUUAGCAUAGUGGAACAAACAACAGAAUAUGUGUCUGAUUCUGAUGUCAAAUAGAUCUGCUUGGCUUUCAUAUCACGUGUUCUGUUCCUUAUUGCUGUAAUGCUGUUGGUUCUGACAUGUUGAGAUAAUAAAGACGGUCAAUCUUUUAAA